rnacentral:tRNA from 1 species
GUUUCAAUAAUUUAAUUUAAAAUACUGGUCUUGUAAAUCAGAAAUAAGGUGACCUUUUGAAAUU